UAGCUUCCAUACCUUGUGAUGCACGGCA
rnacentral:sRNA from 1 species